rnacentral:rRNA from 1 species
AUGGUCUCAGCGCAGUACCUCGGCACCGAGAAACCCCCGCCGUUGUUGGCGUCGGACUGCGUCAGAGUCUUUGAGAACGACGCCGGCUUCUCCUGCUCGUCAUCAGCCGCCGCCGCGGCAUCGUCAUGGAUAUCGCCAUCCGCGUCCGUGGCGCCAAGUGGGGCGAGGCGGAUCCUGGCGAAGACCUCGUCGGUGUCCGUGUCGGCCACGUACCGCACGGCGGCGACGCGGCAGGGCACGAGCGCUGGGACGCGCGCCGCGGAGAGAUCGGCCCCGGCGUCGAGGCCAAGCGCGUGCUCGGCGUGGCCUUGCGGGAAGUAG